rnacentral:rRNA from 1 species
AUUGAACGCUGGCGGCAUGCUUUACACAUGCAAGUCGAACGGCAGCGCGGGCUUCGGCCUGGCGGCGAGUGGCGAACGGGUGAGUAAUACAUCGGAACGUGCCCAGUAGUGGGGGAUAGCUCGGCGAAAGCCGGAUUAAUACCGCAUACGACCUGAGGGUGAAAGCGGGGGAUCUUCGGACCUCGCGCUAUUGGAGCGGCCGAUGGCAGAUUAGCUAGUUGGUGGGGUAAAGGCCUACCAAGGCGACGAUCUGUAGCUGGUCUGAGAGGACGACCAGCCACACUGGGACUGAGACACGGCCCAGACUGCUACGGGAGGCAGCAGUGGGGAAUUUUGGACAAUGGGCGAAAGCCUGAUCCAGCAAUGCCGCGUGUGUGAUGAAGGCCUUCGGGUUGUAAAGCACUUUUGGCGGGAACGAAAAGGACUGUGCCAAUACCACGGUUCGAUGACGGUACCCGCAGAAUAAGCACCGGCUAACUACGUG